rnacentral:rRNA from 1 species
AACGAACGCUGGCGGCAGGCUUAACACAUGCAAGUCGAACGGGUGUAGCGAUACAUCAGUGGCAGACGGGUGAGUAACACGUGGGAACCUUCCUAGGGGUACGGAACAACUCAGGGAAACUUGAGCUAAUACCGUAUACGUCCGUGAGGAGAAAGAUUUAUCGCCCUUAGACGGGCCCGCGUCGGAUUAGCUAGUUGGUGGGGUAACGGCCUACCAAGGCGACGAUCCGUAGCUGAUCUUAGAGGAUGAUCAGCCACACUGGGACUGAGACACGGCCCAGACUCCUACGGGAGGCAGCAGUGGGGAAUCUUGGACAAUGGGCGCAAGCCUGAUCCAGCCAUGCCGCGUGAGUGAAGAAGGUCUUCGGAUUGUAAAGCUCUUUUGCCAGGGACGAUAAUGACGGUACCUGGAGAAUAAGCCCCGGCAAACUUUGUGCCAGCCGCCGCGGUAA